AAUCACCUGCCCUUCUGCCAGUGCCCACCAAUCCUUGACGACCACUAAGGAAGCUACAACUGUCUCACCCAAGGAACUCCAUCCCUUCUAUGUUUCAGAUAUUAAACUUAUUUUUGGGAAGAUUCCUGCUGGAGCUGAAUCACCUUUACCCCGACAUAAGAACAUCUUUGAUCAGCUAUAUAUUUCCCCUUUGAUAUAUCAGAACUAAUUUUAUUUUGGCUGCAAUCACCUGUAGAAGAUUGAAUAGCUUUGAAUAUCUAUUGGUCAUACGCCUCUGUUGCUUGA